GGGUGAUCGGCCACAUUGGAACUGAGACACGGUCCAAACUCCUACGGGAGGCAGCAGUGGGGAAUAUUGCACAAUGGGAGAAAGCCUGAUGCAGCAACGCCGCGUGAGUGAUGAAGGCCUUCGGGUCGUAAAACUCUGUCCUCAAGGAAGAUAAUGACGGUACUUGAGGAGGAAGCCCCGGCUAACUACGUGCCAGCAGCCGCGGU
rnacentral:rRNA from 1 species